rnacentral:sRNA from 1 species
UAGAUGUGGAAUGUACCAAAACUUGA